ACAAGUAAAACACAUUAACACAUUACCAAAGAUCUUACUUUAAUAAUUUGUGAUUCAGUACAUUUUCAGUGGUGGAAGAGACCCUCCAGAGUUGCUGCAGUGUUUGUUCUACUGGCUGUGAUCAUAGGCCUGUUGGAUUCCUAUGCCACUGCAGAGCGAGACCAGCUACAGAAGGAGAUAGAAAGGCUGAACUGGAUAAUCAAAGGGUCCUGUCCUGAAGGAUGGAGAAGGUUUGGCUGCAGCUGUUACUACCUCUCUACUGAGAAGAAAUCCUGGACUGAGAGUAGACAGGACUGUCUGGAGAGAGGAGCAGACCUGGUGAUCAUUAACAGUGAAGAGGAAGAGGUCAGAGACAGAGAGAGCUACUUUAUUUGUCCAUAAUGUAUUAUUAACAAUGCUUUUCCUGUGCCACCACAACAGGCAUUCAUCAAUGGGUUUGAACAACAGACAUUCAUCUAUUUGGCCUGGAUUGGUCUGACUGACUCUGUUA